CCUACGGGUGGCAGCAGUCGAGAAUCAUUCACAAUGGGGGAAACCCUGAUGGUGCGACGCCGCGUGGGGGAAUGAAGGUCUUCGGAUUGUAAACCCCUGUCAUGUGGGAGCAAAUUAAAAAGAUAGUACCACAAGAGGAAGAGACGUCUAACUCUGUGCCAGCAGCCGCGGUAAUACAGAGGUCUCAAGCGUUGUUCGGAAUCACUGGGCGUAAAGCGUGCGGAGGCUGUUUCGUAAGUCGUGUGUGAAAGGCGCGGGCUCAACCCGCGGACGGCACAUGAUACUGCGAGACUAGAGUAAGGGAGGGGGAACCGGAAUUCUCGGUGUAGCAGUGAAAUGCGUAGAUAUCGAGAGGAACACUCGUGGCGAAGGCGGGUUCCUGGACAUUAACUGACGCUGAGGCACGAAGGCCAGGGGAGCGAAAGGGAUUAGAUACCCCAGUAGUC
rnacentral:rRNA from 1 species